GAACGAACAAGGCCUCAAAUCAAUCAGUUCCAAAAAGGUUUAAAAGAGACCGGACUGUGGCUGCUGCUCAUUCACAGAAGAGACACAAUCCCAUUCCUGUUUCCCAGAGAAUCAGAGGCAGAACUCACUCCUCAGAUGAUCUUGGAUUGCAUCAUAUGGCCUUCGUCUGUUACGAUCUUCUUUGAGAGCUUCAGAGAAGAUGAUGUUGACGAGUCCGACAUCAUGGAUGUACAUCGAGUGACUCUCUACUUGAAAACAUUUAUCGAAAAUGUGUCUCCAGUUGAGUUAAAGAGCCUCAUAAAGUUCUGGAUAGGGUGGGAGGUACCCACCGCAGAGAUGAAGGUGGAAGUGGUAGAGGCCACACUUCCCACCGCCUCCACGUGUUUUGAGAAGCUGAGGCUGCCGAGGCAUUACACAACAUAUCAAACCUUUCAUCAAGAUUUGUGCGCGUGCAUAUCCACCAGUUACAGUGGUUUUGGCUGUCCCUGAUUGUAAAUAAUGAUCUUAUGAGUGUGUGUGUGGACUGAAUGUGUGGAAACUGUGGGUGAG